CGCGGUUAUACCAAGUGAUUAAGUUAUACUUUUAGGUAAAAAGACAGUUAGGUUUACAGGUAAUUGACUUUAGUUUAUUAAACAUCUAUAAAAAAGUAAAAUUUGUAUAUAGAUAGCUGAUCUAAGAAUGACUAAAUAAUACUGAAGCUGUGAUAAUCUUGAGGGAAACUGGGAUUAGAUACCCCAUUAUUCUUGAUUGUAAAUAUAAUUAAAUUUACCAGAGUACUAUGAAUAGUUAAAAAUUUAAAACUCAAAGGGCUUGGCGGUGUUUUAGACCUAUCAGGGGAACCUGUCUCAUAAUCGACAAUCCACGCAAUAUCUAACCUUAUUUUGUAAUCAGUUUGUAUACCGUCGUCGUCAGGUAACUUUUAAAAAUAUAGAAGUUAGCAAUUAAAAUUAUUUUAAAUUAGGACGUCAGAUCAAGGUGCAGCUUAUAAUAAGGAGAGGAUGGGUUACAAUUAUAAAAGUUAUAAUUACGGAAAUUUAAAUGAAACCUAUUUUGAAGGAGGACUUGAAAGUAAACUAAAAUACAUAAAUAGUUUGAAUAAGGCUCUG
rnacentral:rRNA from 1 species